UCGAGAAUUUUUCUCAAUGGGGGAAACCCUGAAGGAGCGACGCCGCGUGGGGGAUGAAUGGCUUCGGCCCGUAAACCCCUGUCAUUUGCGAUCAAACCUUACGAUCUAAUAAGUCGUGAGCUGAUAGUAGCGAAAGAGGAAGGGACGGCUAACUCUGUGCCAGCAGCCGCGGUAAUACAGAGGUCCCAAGCGUUGUUCGGAUUCACUGGGCGUAAAGGGUGCGUAGGUGGUCGGGUAAGUCUGAUGUGAA
rnacentral:rRNA from 1 species